GCUCGAGUGUGCAAACUCACAGCAGCGCCGACAGUGAAUCAACCGGGAACUCGCUGGCUGCCGUCCUCGGGGGGUUUUGGCCGCGGCCCGUGUCUCUGCCUCGCCGGGAGGCCGUGUGCAGCGCGGCGGGGGACUUCAUGCUCUAAACGCCCGUGACCUUCUGGGUCCUGACGAGCAGAGGCAGCUGCAGCACGGAAACCGGCCGCGGGAGCAGGGAACAGCAAGAAGGGGGCUGGUCUGCUCCAUGUCCCCGGAUCACAGAGGAGCUCCCGAGGUCACGGCUAGUCCAACCGGGCCGCAGGAAGGGUCAGCCCUGUCCAAAUCAUCCCAGGCAAAUCCAUCAUCUCACCUGCUGGCAAUGCUACACAGUCGGCACCAGACGUCACACCUGGACCUGCCACAGGUCCUUUUCUGCAGAGCUGCUGCCCGGCCUGUCAGCCCCAGCCUGCCCCGGUGCAGGGGAUUGUUCCCUCCUCUGUGCAGGACUUUGCCCUUGUCCUUGUCGAAGCUCGUUAUUACUCUGAUGCUUCCAGUCGCAGCUACCGCCUCAUGCGCGCGGGGAGCUGAUCUUUGCUCCCGUGAAGCAGACUCCCGCAGCCUUCCUGGAAACCACACGUUUGCUCUGGCCUGUUGGUCCCACUAAUCCUCCCUGCACAGCAAGUGUGCCUGAAGCACAGCUGGCUGCUUCACCAUCCUGGCAGGGAGAAAUAGGCACGGCCUGGCUCCUUCGUGGCUGACCCUGGGAAGAAGGGGAGAAGGCAGCAGAGAGGGAAGGGGGCUGGGACUGGGGCAGGGGGGUUACUGGGUGGCAGAUGAGGUGUGGUCCAAAUUGCAGCUCCUGAAACAAGCUGCCCCUUAAGACAGCUCCUGCCUCUCUGAGCCAGUUAGUAUCUAAGGUACCAUUUUGGGGGCAGCAGCAGAGCAGGUGGCUCCUCUCUGGCCCAGCCUCUGGGGAGGGGCAUUGCUGCAACAGCUGGGUCCGGGGCAAGGAUCUCAUUAAGGGGAAUUAAGGGGGUUGGGCUUAUUUUGCCCCAGGUUUUUCUUGCCACAGAGUAAUUGCAGGCAGGUGAGCACUUACCGCAGAGCAGCUGAGGCCUGGGGAGACCUCCCACCCCCACUUAACUCAGUGCAAUUUGCUAAUUAGCUAUUAAAUCAGCCUCGGCUUGCUCUUCCAGCUCUGUCUGUGCCUUGCCCAGGUGUAAGCCAACUGCACAAGUCAAGACGAGAUGGAGAGUGUGGGCUGCGAGGUUCGCGCUGCGGCAGGUGAAUGGGGCAUGAGAUGGAGCAGACCCCAUCCGUGGAGCCGAUCAAGGAGUAGUGCCGAGCAAAGCUGCAUCGAGCUGGUAUCUGCUCCAGUCUUGUCAUCCUUGAGCAUCUCGUUAGGAGAGUCCCGGCUCAAGUAACUUCCACGGUUAACGGUCUGGUUGAAACAGGAGGGAAGUUUCUAAUCAGGGUGUGAAUGGUGGGUACAGCACAGAGAGAUGGUCCCCAUCCAGCCUCCCCCGAGGCUGGCCAAGGCUGGGUGUGCGCACAGGGGUGACACGCAGUGGAGGGUGUCACGCCACGUGGGAGCAGCUGGUUGGGGCAGUGCACACGGCUGCAUCUCUGCUGAGCCCCAUUCACUUGGGUGCCUCCCCCCGCCCUGCUCAAUUUGAGAUACCUUGGGCCCCAGUCAGCAUAGGAGCUUGGAAAAACGUGGAUUUGGGGUUACUUUUUUUAAUCUGAAAAAAUUUUUUUUUUAAAUCGGAGAAAACCAAGAUCCCUGCUCGUGGGGGAGUAUCCCGCCAGCAGUUAAAACCCCAGAGAAGAAAGCUGGGAGCAGGCUGUGACGGGGGGGUGGACCGGGCUUCAGGAAUCUGCACCUGGUGCAAGAAGUCGUGUUUCCUGGACACCUGCAUCGACCCGUCCAGAGACACGCGCAGCCAGCCAGCGCUUCGGCUUGGACCGUGACGCCGUGCCAAUAAGCAAAGAGAAAGACGACUUCAGCUACCGCUUGUCCCUGCUGGAGCUGCGACUGUAAGCCAAGAGGCUGGCUGCGCCCCGGCAGCGUGGCACAGACGGGUGCAAGAACCAGUCCCCUGCCAGCGUCCGUGUUCAAGCCCGAACCCUGCGUGGAAGAGCCCGCGGCUUUCUAGAUCAAUUCCUGCCAGUUUCCAAAGAACACGCUGGAUGCUGGCGAGGAAGGAGACCGCUGACGAGGACCUGGCAGGCCUCAGACGCCUGCAGAAUAAACACGGCGUUCUUUCCCCGUGGGAUCUAGCUGGGCUGCGGCUUACAUGCAAACAGAGAGGUAAUGGCCCCAGGCAGCUCUAAUCCCCAGAGGAUUACCCCAGGGACUUGGCAGCCAGAGUCAUUCAGCAGGGAGCACGCAUCUCCCCGGCUUGACUCCUGCAGAGCGCCGAGGCUGCGGGAGGAGCGGGCAGGACCGUCUCGGACGGACCUGGACAACGUGUCAGGGAUGCUGCUGGUUGUCGGCCCCCGGACUGAACACUGCUGAGCCUCCAUCGCUGAGCACGGCCGGUGCCACCGGGUCUCCGGUGACGGUGUGAUGGAGGGGGAAG